rnacentral:lncRNA from 12 species
UCCAGUGGCUCAGUGGUUGAGUGUCUGCCUUCAGCCCACGGUGUGAUCCUGGGAUCCAAGAUGGAGUCCCACAUCGGGGUCCCUGCAUGGGGCCUGCUUCUCCCUCUGUCUGUGUCUUUGCCUCUACCUGUGUCUCUCACAAAUAAAUAAUUAAAUCUUUAAAAAAAUUAGAUGGAUCUAAAAUAGUAAUGGGACAAGAUGAGGGGACAGAAGGACAGAUGUGAAGAACAUUAAGUAGAAAAGAAAGGACUUGAUGCAAACCACAGAACAGGGGUUUUACUGGCCAAAGAAAUGUCAGAUUUGGUGGAGAGAGCAUGAGCAGCUAGCUAUGUGACCAUAGAGACACAUCUAGAGGAGUACCUGGGUGGCUCAGUGAUUGAACAUCUGCCUUUGGCUCACUCAGGUCUUGAUCCGGGGUCCUGGGAUCGAGUCUUGCAUCAGGCUCCCUGCAGAGAGCCUACUUCUCCCUCUGCCUGUGUCUCUGCCUCUUUCUAUGUCUCUCAUGAAUAAAUAAAUACAAAAUCUUCAAAAACAAAAAAAGAGGUACAUCUAGUGCCAUCAUGAGUCUUAUAGUUACUCGAGUGAGACCUUUGUAAGGUGGUUUUUGAGAAACAAACUGCCCGUACAUUUUCAAUCAAUUCUUAUUUACAUGAAGCAAUGUGGCCUAGAACCUUGCUACUCAAAGUAUGGUCUCGCAGGAAGCAGCAAUAACAGAAUCCCCUGGUAGAGUGUUAGGAAUACAGAAUCUCUGGCCACACCAUUGACCCACUAAAUCGGAAUCUCCAGAUGAUUCUUAAGAAGCACUAUUCCUGUGGUCUAACACUGAUUUGCUUUGGUUAUUUCCUUAGCAUGUAACUCUAGGCAAAUCCUCUCAUUUCUAAACCUAAAUUGUUCAUCUCUAAAGUGGGAAGGAGAUCCCUUUCACGAAGAUGGGGCUGAAGGCGAAGAAGGAAGCCCCUGCCCCUCCCAAAGCCGAAGCCAAAGCAAAGGCUUUGAAAGGCCCAAGGAGAAGAAGAAAUUGCUGUGAGCAAAAGCAUUUUCUAAAGACUACCCCAAAGACCCUACUGGCUUCUCCUGACAUCUCAGGGACUGCCACUCUAUAACCUUCUCUCAUUUCCUUAACCUUCUAGGACAUUGCUUUCAAAUGCUUCUCUGAUGCUACUAAUAAUCGAACAAUAUUAAAUUAAGUCUCAAACACCAUAUUUGGUAUCUCUUUAUUAUCUUUACAGAUUAUAUCUUUAUUGUCUUUUAUAGAUUACAUUUAUAUAUAUUAUCCUUACAUAUUACAUUAUAUCUUUAUAUAUUACAUCAUCAAACAAUGGUGUUUUGAACUGAGUUUACAGAUAUACCUAUUCUCAAUAUAAUAUUCAUGGAAGGCCAAUUACCAAAUGGUAAAGAAGAAAAGUCCAAAGGAAACUAUUAAAUAUGCACUAAAAAAAUGGAAGACCUGGAAAAGCUACUUCAUCUCUUGAAACUUCAGUGUUUUGAACUAUAAAAUGAAGACUAAUAGAACCUACCAUAUAGAUUAUCAUAAGGAUUAAAGAGGAUGUAUUUGAAAUACUUGACCUCAGGGUGCCUGGAAGCUCAUUUGGUUGAGCAUCUGACUCUUGGUUUCAGCUCAACGUCUUGAUCUCAGAA